rnacentral:rRNA from 1 species
GACGAACGCUGGCGGCGUGCUUAACACGUGCAAGUCGAACGGAAAGACCCUGCUUUUGUGGGGUGCUCGAGUGGCGAACGGGUGAGUAACACGUGAGUAACCUGCCCUUGACUUUGGGAUAACUUCAGGAAACUGGGGCUAAUACCGGAUAGGAGCUCCUGCUGCAUGGUGGGGGUUGGAAAGUUUCGGCGGUUGGGGAUGGACUCGCGGCUUAUCAGCUUGUUGGUGGGGUAGUGGCUUACCAAGGCUUUGACGGGUAGCCGGCCUGAGAGGGUGACCGGCCACAUUGGGACUGAGAUACGGCCCAGACUCCUACGGGAGGCAGCAGUGGGGAAUAUUGCACAAUGGGCGGAAGCCUGAUGCAGCAACGCCGCGUGCGGGAUGACGGCCUUCGGGUUGUAAACCGCUUUCGCCUGUGACGAAGCGUGAGUGACGGUAAUGGGUAAAGAAGCACCGGCUAACUACGU